rnacentral:rRNA from 1 species
AGUGAACGCUGGCGGUAGGCCUAACACAUGCAAGUCGAACGGCAGCACAGUAAGAGCUUGCUCUUACGGGUGGCGAGUGGCGGACGGGUGAGGAAUACAUCGGAAUCUACUUUUUCGUGGGGGAUAACGUAGGGAAACUUACGCUAAUACCGCAUACGACCUACGGGUGAAAGCAGGGGAUCUUCGGACCUUGCGCGAUUGAAUGAGCUGAUGUCGGAUUAGCUAGUUGGCGGGGUAAAGGCCCACCAAGGCGACGAUCCGUAGCUGGUCUGAGAGGAUAAUCAGCCACACUGGAACUGAGACACGGUCCAGACUCCUACGGGAGGCAGCAGUGGGGAAUAUUGGACAAUGGGCGCAAGCCUGAUCCAGCCAUACCGCGUGGGUGAAGAAGGCCUUCGGGUUGUAAAGCCCUUUUGUUGGGAAAGAAAAGCAGCAGGUUAAUACCCCGCUGUUCUGACGGUACCCAAAGAAUAAGCACCGGCUAACUUCGUG